UACGAAGGGGGCUAGCGUUGCUCGGAAUCACUGGGCGUAAAGCGCACGUAGGCGGCUUGUUAAGUCAGGGGUGAAAUCCUGGAGCUCAACUCCAGAACUGCCUUUGAUACUGUCGAUCUCGAGUCCGGGAGAGGUGAGUGGAAUUCCUAGUGUAGAGGUGAAAUUCGUAGAUAUUAGGAAGAACACCAGUGGCGAAGGCGGCUCACUGGCCCGGUACUGACGCUCAGGUGCGAAAGCGUGGGGAGCAAACAGG
rnacentral:rRNA from 1 species